rnacentral:rRNA from 1 species
AUACGGAGGGUGCAAGCGUUAUCCGGAUUUAUUGGGUUUAAAGGGUGCGUAGGCGGAUCGGUCAGUCAGUGGUGAAAUCCCAUAGCUUAACUAUGGAACUGCCAUUGAUACUGCCAAUCUCGAGUAUAGUUGAAGUGGAUGGAAUGUAACAUGUAGCGGUGAAAUGCAUAGAUAUGUUACAGAACACCGAUUGCGAAGGCAGUUCACUAAACUAUUACUGACGCUGAGGCACGAAAGCGUGGGGAGCGAACAGGAUUAGAAACCCUAGUAGUCC